rnacentral:lncRNA from 1 species
UGGGAAAAUCCACUGCAACUCUGCUGCCUGUUAUUUGGAAACCAUCAUAUUUGGUGCCAGAGAAGGCCAGGAACAUGAGAUUGAUGAAGUUUAUGCUUCCUGUGUCCUUCCUAACCCAGGUAAAGGAAUCAAGAUGUAGAGACCCAUCUGUGAUCACUCAGCCAGGGAAUGCAACUUCUGGGUCAGGAAUCUCAGUGGAUUCUCCAUUGAGAAUGGGUGCUCACCAAGGAGAUUUUGUGGUUAUGAAGUCUUGGCUUUGCCUUGGAGUGGAUCCUGCAGAGGUCAAUGGAGUGAAGCCAGUUAAGGAUGCAAAGAGGAAUGCGAAGAGGAAUGCGAAGGCGAAUGCUCACCUCCGGGAAGCCCCUUCAUUUCUGGAUCCUGUCAGGCAGAGGUGCUGCUGGAGGUCAUACUCCCUCAGCUGGGCAAAGCAGUGGAGAGCCACUGGCUUCCAGAAUGCUCCCAUAUCCUUGCCUGGGAGAGAAUGUUUUUCCUGUUACUCUGGAAGUAUAACAAUUCUGUGGCCUGUCAGUCUUUCAAUAACAAGAGAGGUGACAUUGAGACUUGAUUGUGCUGGUAUCAUUAUCUCAGGAUAUGUAACACCUUACUAAAAAGACUAUUCAUUGCUCAAAAAUUUUGUAUUUCAUAUAAAAAAAUUCCUCUGAUUGUUCAA